AAGACCAAGGGUUCCUGUCCAACGUUAAUCGGGGCAGGGUGAGUCGACGCCUAAGGCGAGGCCGAAAAGCGUAGUCGAGGGGAAGCAGGUUAAAAUUCCUGUGCUGGGGGUUGCGGCGAAGGGGGGACGGAGAAGGGUAUGUUGGCCGGGCGAGGGUUGUCCCGGUUUAAGCGUGUAGGCUGGUUUUCCAGGCAAAUCCGGAAAAUCAAGUCUGAGGCGUGAUGACGAGGCACUACGUUGCUGAGGCAACAAACGCCCUUGUUCCAGGAAAUGCCUCUCAGUAUCAGGUAACAUAAGAUCGUAACCCAAACCGACAUAGGUGGUCAGGUAGAGAAUACCAAGGCGCUUGAGAGAACUCGGGUGAAGGAACUAGGCAAAAUGGUGCCGUAACUUCGGGAGAAGGCACGCUGAUAUG
rnacentral:rRNA from 1 species